AUCCCAAAACACACUGAGAGUUACUGAACUACACGGCAUUGGUCUUCCCCUAAUACCAGUUAAAAAUAGCCAGAUCGGUCACAAGUGUGCUAGCAGGAUCAUCCACUGUCGCAGUACACAGCUCAGGUUAUUUUUUUUCUCCCCUUUCACUGCCCUCCUAGCACAGAGCUCUUUUGUUUGAUUAUUACCUGGGCAAAUUUGCUAUACGAUAAAAAAAAUUAUGCACGUAGCUGACUCCCGUCCAGAUGCCCUUAGGAGAAGACGUUCAUUUUCAUCUUGUUUCCCAAAUGAAGCUUUAAAUCUAAUUAGACCUUGAAAGAAAAUAUCUGCGAUACGGUUUCUGUAACUAAAGGGCCUCUCAUUUAAAUAAUGUUCUUAUUUGUUUAUGUUGUGUGAUUUAUAGCCAGUGAUGAAAUUCUUUGCGGCUAGCGUGCCACAUGCUUCGGGGGUCCUUUGCAUAGAGCACUUUGACCAGGACCGGGGCCCGGCACCUGCUGCUCAGGGGCGCGCGCGUACGUCAGACGGAAGGUCAGGAAGCCCCGCAGUCCUGCCCCCGGGCUCCCUCCUAGCACCCUGCCAAGCACGCUGCCCCCGGGCUCCGUCCCAGCACCCCGCCAUCGGGAGGCUGGCUGACUAGGACAAAGGCCUAGCUGAGACGGUGCCGCGGGUAAUGGGAGCAGAACCUCGGUGGCUCACCAGCUAUUUUCAUCCCUGAGGAGAAAGCAUCGGUGUCAGCGUUGAACCAGCUGCGGCUUCCACAGGAUGUCAGACGGAGACAGAUUCCUGACAAAGGAUGGGCUUGCUCCAAGAAUGCCUUUGAGCAUAUUGCUCUGCUGUGCACGAGAAGCUCCACGUGGCUCUGGGACCCGAAGCUGCAGGUCCUCCGGCUGUGCCCCCGAGUGGCCUGGCUCCCUGUGCCUUAGCCUGCCGGCACCUGCCGUGUUCUGCCUGGAGCUGCCCGCUGGCCACGCCUCGAUGAUGAGCUGGCUGCAUAGACACCACAGCCUCCUCAUGUCUCGGAUGCUUGUGCCCCAGCCCUCACCGCAUGGCCCGCCUCUGCAGGAGCCAAGGCAUCAGCUGUCUGCCCUUCUUCUGCAAACAAUGCCACACAAGAGACACAAUCACAGCUAA
rnacentral:lncRNA from 1 species